GGAGACUGCCUUAGUCUAGACAGGUUUUCUGGCCAUGUGGAUGGGGAGAAAGGACAUCUGUAACUGCAGUACAGUGUGGAGAGAACCAAGCUAUAUUUAAAUUAACUAAUACCCCAGGGACGUUGUGAAACGGAGACGGAAACACUUCCUUCCCAGCAACAGGAUAGGGAAGGGAGCUCUGAUGUUCCCUGGCUGUUUGGAGAAGCUUUCUGGCCAGCCAGCUUUCUGUGCGGCUUUCUGGGCCGCACCUGACUUGAGACAUCCAGGAAGGCAUCAGGACAUUGACCUGAGAGCUUCAUCAGUCAGUGCAGGGAGCCACAGCACCCAAGAGGGAGUGAUGCCAGGAGAUUCGUUGCCAAUCUGCAGGUGAAGUCAACUUAUUUGUUGAGGAUGCAUAACAGAAGAGCACUGGAUGUGUUGCGGUGCGGAGCAUCUAAAGCCUGGCUAGUCCUCAUGAGAAAAGUCCUCCUUGUGCAGCUCACCGGGCUUUUCCUCCAGAAUACGUGGUUAACCCAGAGUACCUGGAGAGAGAACCUCUGAAGGUGUACCCUGGGCGUUCUGGGGUGUAUCCUUACCACCCGUUUCCCGUGGGAUUUGCCAUCAAUCAAUCAGGCUGCAGGGGAGCACCACCACCGGCAGGGAUGUCGCUGCAAAGAGGUUUCCGACACGUUCCCAGCACCUAUGGGCCAGGGAGCGCAGCUUCUCUGUCAAUUCCAGACGGAGGUGGAGAUUUCCAUCAAGGAUAUUACACUCCUCUGCCUCAGUUUAUUCCGCCAAGUUUCCUGCCAGGGAUUCAUUAUGUUCCGCCUCCCCUUCCACUCAGUGUGUUGGCUGAAACAACCAAGGAAACGCGCGCUUCAGCAGCUGACAGCCAGGAUUCAGGGAUGGUGUGUGAACCUGGCCAACCAUCUUCCCCAGAAGAAACGAGCAGAGACCAAACCGUACAUUCUAAACAUUAAAUGGCCUGGAGAAGAGCUGAGUAGCAGGCAGCACUGUUUUCACUGCUGAGGAGAGUAUUGGUUAAUAUGGGUGUAGAGUGACACUUAAUUGUUGCGCAGCCACAGGAGCUAGAAAGGGAUUGGUUCCCUGCCUCACUUUAUGAUCAUGUGAGAGCUAUCAGCAUCACAGCUCUACCCCCUUAGCAGUGUGAAGCGCUUGUUCCUAAGAGAGGUUUUCCAGAGCCACCAUAAAUCCUUUCCUCCUUAAGCAGGAGGAAGCAGCAGAGCACUAUGACUCUAAAUGCUGGUUCCUCUCCUGAGGCUAGUUGGCUGCCUCUUUGCCACGCAGGCUCUGUGCAGCCUUCUUGUGCUCACAGCAGCGGUCAAAAAUGUGUUGUUUGUGUAUCAAUUUGCUGUAAAGGAAACCUGGUUCUGAGUAAGUUCUGAGUUAAGUGAUGUAGGGCCUGAAGACUGAGUGAGAGAGGAUGGGAAGACAGUCUGGGUUGCUGAUAUACAAGACUGAUCAGGAACGUGAGUCCCUGGCGUUCAUCGGGCCGAGGCGGUAGCAGACGUUUGGUACGCUUGUCAAGGAGGGCUUGAGAGGAUGCUGAAAUCCAGUACCUCCUCAUUGUUUUCCAGGUGAACUGCCUGUAGGGCGCCUUCCCCGCAGGUAGGGGACAGACUGAUUUGGAAUCACCUCUUGUCACGCAGGCCUCAGGAUUCUGAGUGCCUUUGAUGGUUUAUACAUUAUUUCUAUGUUGUUUAACUCAGUACAGCUGAAGAAAGCGGCACCAUUGAUUCUAGAGGGCUCAGGUAGGCAGCUUAAUAGGUAGGGAUUGGAAGUGCACUGUGGCCUAUCAGAGGUGUGGGGGAGUGGCGAGGAAGCUAGGGCAACACACCAUUUAGAACAGUAAUUAGCCAAACCCAUACAUGCUGUAAUUUUCAAUGAUAAUGUUUGGAUAAAAAUGGAAGGUGCAUUCCUCUACUGUUUUGCUGCAAGGAACUGGUUUUGUAUUAAGUGGAUCAGUUGUUAAUGUUUGAAUACUUUGAGGAGGACUUUUGUAUAAUUA
rnacentral:lncRNA from 1 species